rnacentral:rRNA from 1 species
CGGGAAACUGGGGAUAAUCCCCGAUAGGUCUCGGCUGCUGGAAUGCAUCGAGAUUUAAAGCUCCGGCGCCUAAGGAUGGGUCUGCGGCCUAUCAGGUAGUAGUGGGUGUAGCGUACCUACUAGCCUACGACGGGUACGGGUUGUGAGAGCAAGAGCCCGGAGAUGGAUUCUGAGACACGAAUCCAGGCCCUACGGGGUGCAGCAGGCGCGAAAACUUUACAAUGCUGGCAACAGCGAUAAGGGAACCUCGAGUGCCAGGUUACAAAUCUGGCUGUCGAGAUGCCUAAAAAGCAUUUCAUAGCAAGGGCCGGGCAAGGCCGGUGCCAGCCGCCGCGGUAACA